rnacentral:rRNA from 1 species
GAAAGGACCGAUUGGAGGGCAAGUCUGGUGCCAGCAGCUGCGGUAACUCCAGCUCCGAUAGCGUAAGCUAAAUUUGUUGCGGAUGAAAAGCUCGUAGUCCGCAGUCAGCCCGGGGCGGCGGGGCGCGUCAGCGCCCCUUCCGGACUCGCGGGCUCUGGCCGUUUUCCGGACCGCGAUCUUCACCGGUCGUGGCACGGGGUCCGGUCAGUUUACCUUGAAGAAACUGAAGUGCUCAGAGCAGGCCUGUCGCCCGCACAAGGAUGCAUGGAAUAAUGCAAGAGGACCUCGGUUCUAUUGUGUUGGUUUUCGGAACCGGAGGUAAUGAUCAAUAGGAACAGACGGGGGCAUUCGUACUGAGGCGCUAGAGGUGAAAUUCUUGGACCGCCGCAGGACGAACUACUGCGAAAGCAUUUGCCAAGAAUGUUUUCAUUGACCAAGAACGAAAGUUAGAGGUUCGAAGGCGAUCAGAUACCGCCGUAGUUCUGACCGUAAACUAUGCCAGCCAGCGAUCCGGUGCUGUUUGA